rnacentral:rRNA from 1 species
AGUGAACGCUGGCGGUAGGCCUAACACAUGCAAGUCGAACGGCAGCACAGUAAGAGCUUGCUCUUACGGGUGGCGAGUGGCGGACGGGUGAGGAAUACAUCGGAAUCUACUUUUUCGUGGGGGUUAACGUAGGGAAACUUACGCUAAUACCGCAUACGACCUACGGUUGAAAGCAGUGGAUCUUCGGACCUUGCGCGAUUGAUUGAGCCGAUGUCGGAUUAGCUAGUUGGCGGGGUAAAGGCCCACCAAGGCGACGAUCCGUAGCUGGUCUGAGCGGAUGUUCGGCACCACUGGAACUGGAAAACGGUCCAACCUCCUACGGGGGGCAGCAGUGGGGAAUAUUGGACAAUGGGGGCAAGCCUUAUCCAGGCCUACCGGGGAGGUGAAAAAGGCCUUGGGGUUGUAAAAUCCGUUUGUUGGGAAAGAAAAGCAGCAGGUUAAUACCCCGCUGUUCUGACGGUACCCAAAGAAUAAGCACCGGCUAACUUCGUG